CCUACGGGCGGCAGCAGUGAGGAAUAUUGGUCAAUGGGCGGAAGCCUGAACCAGCCAAGUCGCGUGAGGGAUGAAGGCCCUGCGGGUCGUAAACCUCUUUUGCCGGGGAGCAGAGGGCCGGACGUGUCCGGGCCGGGAGAGGACCCGGAGAAAAAGCAGCGGCGAACUCCGGGCCAGCAGCCGCGGUACGACGGAGGAUGCGAGCGUUAGCCGGAUGUAUUGGGGGGACUGGGUGCGUAGGCGGGCCUUUAAGCCGGCGGUCAAAUGUCGGGGCGCAACCCCGGCCUGCCGUCGGAACGGGGUGCCUUGAGUGGGCGAGACGUAUGCGGAAUGCGUGGUGUAGCUGUUACAUGCAUAGCUAUCACGCAGAACCCCGAUUGCGAAGGCAGCAUACCGGCGCCCUACUGACGCCGAGGCACGAAAGUGCGGGUAUCGAACAGGAUUAGAUACCCCUGUAGUC
rnacentral:rRNA from 1 species